CCGCGCUCAGCCCGCGGCCCAGAUGGCAGAGCAGCCCGGAGCGGGGACAUUUUCUCAGGCUUUCAAAAAGAGCACUUUCUUUCCUGCCUAAUAUUUAGCUCCUUCAAAUGCAAAUGGAGAGGUUGCGCUCCAAGAGACAUCACAUCUGUUUUGGGGCCGGUAAAGUUGUGGAUAAUAGAAUGAAAAUGAGAAGAAAGCAAAAAUGCUUCCUUAGGAACAUGCUGAAGUAGUGAUUCCAAGAUGAAGAGCGCAGAUGUGGAGCUGGUUUCCUGCCUCCCUGGCUAUGUGGUGGGACUCCCAGAAUAUAAAGAUACAAGCCCUGAUUUAACAUCUGCACAAUUGUGUGAGUGAAAUGUGCAAACAAAUAAUUGUUAUCUAGUUUGAAGAAUACAACUUUAAAAACAUGGGUGGAUUUUAUUGGGCAGAUGUCAGUGCCACCUUCUCGCAGUGUGGUCAUUUGAUUUGGGUAAUUAUGUGAAAACUCUGGCUGUGUGAAUCAGGGCAAGGUCAUUCCAGGUGAAGAUACUGGUGUGACACAAGUGGAGGGGCCUGGAAAACCAUGGCUUUCCAGGAUUCAGUGUUGCUUUAGUGGGUGAUGGGAGGAGAGAAUGAAGACAGGUGGAUCUGGAUAUUUAAGGGGCUCAGAACUGCUAGAUCCUGAAGGGCCUUGUUGACCCUACUAAGGGGAUUGGCCUUAUUCCAUCCUGAGUGGUAGCCAUGAUGAUCUGAAGGAGGUGACUGAUGCUAUCAUAUGUUCAUGUAGGAUUAUAGGAGGGAGUUAGUAGAGUUGAGACCAGAGGCACAACAGUGAAAGGCUAUUACUAUAACUCAGGUAAGUCAUGGUGAAGGUCAAGGUCAGAAUGAUGACACAGGGCAUGGAGAUAAAUAGGUAAUGACUGCUGCAGGAAGACCCCAGGCUUUUGGAGAACAGAGGUGCUGGUUAUUGGGAGAUGAUGAUUGAAUGGGAGGAGAAAAGAUUUCCCAGAUUUUUCAUUUGGCAAAUAAAUAGGGAAUGUUCGCUCAGACUGCUGUGGGCAAUACAGAACAAAAGCACUUUUGGAAGGAAAUAUGAAUUUUAUUUGAAUCUUUGCAAUGAAUUGUUGCUAUACCCAUAUAGAGCUAUAUAGUAGAUGACUGGAUUUUUAGGAUAUAAAGUUUGGGGAGAAAUCAGCAUUUGGUAUAUUGAUUGUGGAGUUACCUCCUGAUGCUGCAUUUGUAAGUUAGGAUUAGAUUUUACUACAUGUACUACAUGGUAUAGUGACUUAGUAAAGAUACUAUUGUAUCUCUUCUAAAGAAUCCAGGGGAUACAUGGUUCAAAGAGAGAAUAACAGCUCUACCAACAUUUUGUCUCCAUCUGUGAUAGCCAACCCAACUCCAUUUUGAGCUUCAAUGCCAUUUUGUACCCGUGCUUGGACAAAGUGCUUGUGCUUGGACAAAGCACCCCAAACCCACAUCCUGCUUGGCAGUAAACUUGCUGCAGUUGCAGGAUGUUUUGUAGCUCACCUAGUGUGCGAAACUUCCUUGUGCCCCCCACUAACCUGAUUCCGCUUCUGUAAGAUUCUGCUUGCUCUACCCUGAGCCUCCCCAACUGAAAGCAUGAUUUAAAAGGAGAAAUCAAACUGCUUCCCGUUGCCCAGAGAACUUUCUGGGCAGUAGCCCUCCUUGGCCACCAGUUUAAUAAAUGGACUCAACCUGGC
ensembl:lncRNA